rnacentral:lncRNA from 1 species
ACGCAGAAGAGCCGCCGGCUCCGAGUUCGCGUAUAGGACGGCAACGACUAACGAUCGUAUAAAUACUAAUGGAACACCGACAGGCCGCGAUAAAAAAAGCUCCUCCUUCCUAAAUUCUGCUGUUUGUCAUCGAGUCUAUCUACAAUAAGACCAUUCCGAGACACGCCAGAAGAGUGUGACCCAUUGCGGAGGCGAAAGUGAGACGAGCGUUGAACGGAUAUGACUUCUCCGCUCGCGACAAACAACGAAACAAGUCGCAGCGAUCAUAGCAGAGGAGCCCGCAGCUCUUGUCGUCACGUCACUGACCGAGAACGACGAGAAUUCGUCGUGCCGGGGGCAUACCGCGAACAAGAGAAAGAGAAAGAGAGUGAAUCAAAGAAGUAAUUAUAUGUGACGUCACUCGACUGGUUUCAACACUCGACCCGAGUGCAACGAGUCGAGUCGAGUCGAGUCGAGUCGAGUCGAGCAAGUGGGCCGGAGGGCCUCUUCUCCUCUCCUGCUGCUCUCCCUAGGCCGUAGCAAUUGCCACGGCAGCUGGAGAUGCGUAUGGAAGAAAUGUGUAGUCUCCUUACUUACAAGCGGCCGUUUCUCGCAGCGCUCGCGGUCUCUCUCGUCCGCGGCGGCAAGUGGGAGGAGGCGAAAAUAGCACCUCCCAAACUUUAUGAGCGGUAAAUCAGCGGAACGUUAGUGCCGAUAUGGUCUGCGCGCCACUUAAAGCGAACUUGACGGACACAUUAGCCGCAAUAAUCCCGAGACGGCGAGUAGGAAAUUAAAUAAACCUCUCCUAAUUAUUAAUCAGCGAACGCACCCGCGGGUUGCUGUCGCCGCCGCUGUUGCUGCCGGAAGAGACGACGACGUCGACCCGCGACCGGCGCUCGAGCGAGGCCGUGAAACGUACGUGCACGUCGUGCAUUGCAUUUCUUAUCGACAAAUAGUCGAGCUUCUUAACGCUCGUUUACGUUAUUAAUAGUACACAUACUUAAUGAAAUUGCGUUUAUUCGUGUCGGUAAAUGCGCGCUGCGCUUCGCGUGUCGCGAGCUCACACGCCUGGAAUUUUUCCUCCAAGGGUUGCAAAUGAAAACGCAGGCUUCAAUGACGCACGAGCGUAUAAAAAUCGCAUACUGGCUGAGCGGAGGAAAAGAUAAUUCGCAGUUUCGUAAUCGUCGUAUAAUUGAUCAACCGUGUUUACCGAUUCGCGGUAUAUACCUCUCUCU